GAUGAACGCUGGCGGCGUGCCUAAUACAUGCAAGUCGAGCGAACAGACGAGGAGCUUGCUCCUCUGACGUUAGCGGCGGACGGGUGAGUAACACGUGGAUAACCUACCUAUAAGACUGGGAUAACUUCGGGAAACCGGAGCUAAUACCGGAUAAUAUAUUGAACCGCAUGGUUCAAUAGUGAAAGACGGUUUUGCUGUCACUUAUAGAUGGAUCCGCGCCGCAUUAGCUAGUUGGUAAGGUAACGGCUUACCAAGGCAACGAUGCGUAGCCGACCUGAGAGGGUGAUCGGCCACCCUGGAACUGAGACACGGUCCAGACUCCUACGGGAGGCAGCAGUAGGGACUCUUCCGCAAUGGGCGAAAGCCUGACGGAGCAACGCCGCGUGAGUGAUGAAGGUCUUCGGAUCGUAAAACUCUGUUAUUAGGGAAGAACAAAUGUGUAAGUAACUAUGCACGUCUUGACGGUACCUAAUCAGAAAGCCACGGCUAACUACGUG
rnacentral:rRNA from 1 species